AUUGAACGCUGGCGGCAUGCCUUACACAUGCAAGUCGAACGGCAGCACGGGUGCUUGCACCUGGUGGCGAGUGGCGAACGGGUGAGUAAUGUAUCGGAACGUACCUUUCAGUGGGGGAUAACUAUCCGAAAGGAUAGCUAAUACCGCAUAUUCUGUGAGCAGGAAAGCAGGGGAUCGCAAGACCUUGCGCUGAUUGAGCGGCCGAUAUCAGAUUAGCUAGUUGGUGGGGUAAAGGCCUACCAAGGCUACGAUCUGUAGCGGGUCUGAGAGGAUGAUCCGCCACACUGGAACUGAGACACGGUCCAGACUCCUACGGGAGGCAGCAGUGGGGAAUUUUGGACAAUGGGGGCAACCCUGAUCCAGCCAUGCCGCGUGAGUGAAGAAGGCCUUCGGGUUGUAAAGCUCUUUCGGACGGGAAGAAAUCGCAUCGGCUAAUACCUGGUGCGGAUGACGGUACCGUAAUAAGAAGCACCGGCUAACUACGUGCCAGCCGCCGCCGUAA
rnacentral:rRNA from 1 species